CCAUCACUCCAUCAUUCCACACUCAACACUACACUCCAUCUCCUCCCUCCUUCCCCAAAUCGGCAGCCAUCAACCACCACCCUACCACCAUCAUUCGACCUUGUUCCAUCCAUUCUAUUACCAUACAAGGGUGCAAGGAGACACACAACGAAGCUUGGUGCGUUCGGAAGUCGAAGGACCGCUCUCGUUUUCUUUUAUCCACCACUUUUCUACACUCGAACUCCUCUAGCCUUGUGCUAGUACAACUUAAGCUGAAUUUUUCUGCUGAAAAUGUGCGGCGGAUAAACAAUUGAGGGAUUGUGUUAACGUUUAAAAACGCACCCGAAGGUGAGUACAUAGUUCCCCUAUUUUACUGUUUUCAAUUGUUUUGGGGUGAUUCAUAUGUAUCAAAACGAUUUCGAUGUU
rnacentral:lncRNA from 1 species